rnacentral:tRNA from 1 species
GUAAAAGUAAGCUAAGACAAGCUGUUGGGUCCAUACCCCAAAUAUAGAGACAAUCUCUCUUUUCCA